UCCAGUGCACUCACCUAUGCACUGAACAGCAACUUCAGAAGUCAGUUUUUUUGUUUGUUUUUUUUUUAAAAACACCUAAUCUAGGCAAAAAUAAUGUGGGUUUAGUUACAUUAUAUGACCAUAAAUUGCAUAAGCCUGCCACAACGAAGUUGCUGUUUAGUGGAUAGGUGAGUGCGCUGGA